AACGAACGCUGGCGGCGCGCCUAAUACAUGCAAGUCGAGCGAGAAGACGUAGCAAUACGUUUGUAAAGCGGCGAACGGGUGAGGAAUACAUGGGUAACCUACCCUCGAGUGGGGAAUAACUAGCCGAAAGGUUAGCUAAUACCGCGUACGCUCCUUGGACUUCGGUUCAGGGAGGAAAGCGAUACCGUGGGUAUCGCGCUCUUGGAUGGGCUCAUGUCCUAUCAGCUUGUUGGUGAGGUAACGGCUCACCAAGGCUUCGACGGGUAGCUGGUCUGAGAGGACGAUCAGCCACACUGGCACUGCGACACGGGCCAGACUCCUACGGGAGGCAGCAGUAAGGAAUAUUGCGCAAUGGGCGAAAG
rnacentral:rRNA from 1 species